GUUGAUGUAUCAGAUCAGUCUGAUCGGUGCAGCGUCCAAUCAAUAACUGAUAUCUAAUAAGGAUAUGAGUCGAGGAGAGGAGUCGAGCGUAUAAAUUCAGAAAUGGGAAAGGCCUUGUGACACAGUCCUGCAAACAGAAGAACCCCCAACAAGGAAGUGUUUAAACUGUAAACUGGUUUAAACUGUG